rnacentral:rRNA from 1 species
UACGUAGGUGACCAGCGUUGUCCGGAUUUACUGGGCGUAAAGAGCGCGCAGGCGGUCGUUCAAGUCGAGUGUGAAAGCCCCCGGCUCAACUGGGGAGGGUCAUUCGAUACUGAUCGACUGGAAGGCAGGAGAGGGAAGCGGAAUUCCUGGUGUAGCGGUGAAAUGCGCAGAUAUCAGGAAGAACACCCGUGGCGAAGGCGGCUCUCUGGUACGUGACUGACGCUGAGACGCGAAAGCGUGGGGAGCAAACAGG